rnacentral:rRNA from 1 species
UACGGGGGGGCAAGCGUUGUUCGGAAUUACUGGGCGUAAAGGGUUCGUAGGUGGCUUGUUAAGUCAGACGUGAAAUCCCUCGGCUCAACCGGGGAACUGCGUCCGAUACUGGAUGGCUUGAGUUCGGGAGAGGGAUGCGGAAUUCCAGGUGUAGCGGUGAAAUGCGUAGAUAUCUGGAGGAACACCGGUGGCGAAGGCGGCAUCCUGGACCGACACUGACGCUGAGGAGCGAAAGCCAGGGGAGCAAACGGG